rnacentral:rRNA from 1 species
UACAGAGGGUGCUAGCGUUGUUCGGAAUCAUUGGGCGUAAAGGGCGUGUAGGCGGUUUGUUAAGUCAUGUGUGAAAUCCCUCGGCUCAACCGGGGAACGACGCAUGAAACUGGCAAGCUAGAGUACCAAAGAGGGGGGUGGAAUUCCCGGUGUAGCGGUGAAAUGCGUAGAUAUCUGGAGGAACACCGGUGGCGAAGGCGGCAUCCUGGACAGGUACUGACGCUGAAGCGCGAAAGCUAGGGGAGCAAACGGG